CGGGAGGCUUAACACAUGCAAGUCGAGGGGCAUCACGAGGUAGCAAUACUUUGGUGGCGACCGGCGCACGGGUGAGUAACGCGUAUGCAACCUGCCUAUUACAGGAGGAUAGCUUCCGGAAACGGAAAUUAAUACUCCAUAAAGUUUUAAUAAGGCAUCUUAUAAAAAUUAAAGCUCCGGCGGUAAUAGAUGGGCAUGCGUAACAUUAGCUAGUUGGUAAGGUAACGGCUUACCCAAGGCAACGAUGUUUAGGGGUCCUGAGAGGGUAACCCCCCACACUGGUACUGAGACACGGACCAGACUCCUACGGGAGGCAGCAGUGAGGAAUAUUGGUCAAUGGGCGCAAGCCUGAACCAGCCAUCCCGCGUGCAGGAAGACGGCCCUAUGGGUUGUAAACUGCUUUUCUGAGGGAAGAAUAGUUUUGAUUCGUUCAAGACAUGACGGUACCUCAGGAAUAAGCAUCGGCUAACUCCGUGCCAGCAGCCGCGGUAAUACGGAGGAUGCAAGCGUUAUCCGGAUUUAUUGGGUUUAAAGGGUGCGUAGGCGGACCUGUAAGUCAGUGGUGAAAUCCUGCAGCUUAACUGUAGCAUUGCCAUUGAAACUGUAGGUCUUGAGUUAGGUUGAGGUAGGCGGAAUGUGUAAUGUAGCGGUGAAAUGCUUAGAUAUUACACAGAACACCGAUUGCGUAGGCAGCUUACUGGACCUUAACUGACGCUGAGGCACGAAAGCGUGGGGAGCGAACAGGAUUAGAUACCCUGGUAGUCCACGCCGUAAACUAUGAUUACUCGUUGUUGGCAAUACACAGUCAGCGACCAAGCGAAAGCGAUAAGUAAUCCACCUGGGGAGUACGCUCGCAAGAGUGAAACUCAAAGGAAUUGACGGGGGCCCGCACAAGCGGUGGAACAUGUGGUUUAAUUCGAUGAUACGCGAGGAACCUUACCUGGGCUUAAAUGUAGACUGCAUAGUGUGGANACGCACUUCUCUUUCGAGACUGUUUACAAGGUGCUGCAUGGUUGUCGUCAGCUCGUGCCGUGAGGUGUCGGGUUAAGUCCCAUAACGAGCGCAACCCUUAUCGUUAGUGCACAUCGGUUCAAGCCGGGGACUCUAGCGAAACUGCCACCGUAAGGUGAGAGGAAGGUGGGGAUGACGUCAAAUCAGCACG
rnacentral:rRNA from 1 species